rnacentral:rRNA from 1 species
GACGAACGCUGGCGGCGUGCCUAAUACAUGCAAGUCGAGCGAAGUUUUUCUGGUGCUUGCACUAGAAAAACUUAGCGGCGAACGGGUGAGUAACACGUAAAGAACCUGCCUCAUAGACUGGGACAACUAUUGGAAACGAUAGCUAAUACCGGAUAACAGUAUUUCUCGCAUGAGAGAUAUUUAAAAGUUGGUUAUGCUAACACUAUGAGAUGGCUUUGCGGUGCAUUAGCUAGUUGGUGGGGUAAAGGCCCACCAAGGCGACGAUGCAUAGCCGACCUGAGAGGGUGAUCGGCCACACUGGGACUGAGACACGGCCCAGACUCCUACGGGAGGCAGCAGUAGGGAAUCUUCCGCAAUGGGCGAAAGCCUGACGGAGCUACGCCGCGUGAGUGAAGAAGGAUUUCGGUUCGUAAAGCUCUGUUGUUAGGGAAGAAUGGAUAUGUAGUAACUAUACAUGUAAGAGACGGUACCUAACCAGAAAGCCACGGCUAACUACGUG